rnacentral:misc_RNA from 1 species
AACCAUAGAAACCUGCGGAGUACCUGCGGAGGGAUCAUUAACAAAUCUAAAAAAAGGUGGGGAAAAGGGAGAGAGAAGGGGAGAAAAAGUGAAAAGUAAGAAAUAAAUGAGAAGGUUUUUUGAAUAGAAGGGCCUUUUAUAAAGAGGCUCUCCUAAGAGAAAUGCCUUUCUCUUUAUGGUAAGACUUUCCUUUAUCUUUACCCUCAUCUCUCCACUCACCACAUUGACUCGGACUUGACU